AUUGAACGCUGGCGGCAGGCCUAACACAUGCAAGUCGAGCGGAAGAAGGGUGCUUGCUUCUGGUUUCAGCGGCGGAAGGGUGAGUAAUGCCUAGGAAUCUGCUUGGCUGUGGGGGGUAAUGUCCGGAAACGGGCGCUAAUACCGCAUACGACCUGCGGGAGAAAGUGGGGGAUCGUCGGACCUCACGCUAUCAGAUGAGUUUAGGUCCGAUUAGUUAGUUGGUGGGGUAAGGGCCUACCAAGGCGACGAUCCGUAACUGGUCUGUGUGGAUGAUCAGUCACACUGGAACUUGGACACGGACCAGACUCCUGCGGGAGGGCGCAGUGGGGAAUGUUGGGCAAUGGGCGGAAACCUUGUCCAGCCAGGCCACGUGUGAGGAAGGAGUCCUGGGAGUGUAAAGCACUUUAUGUGGGGAGAAAGCGCAGUAAGUUGAUACCUUGCGGGUUUGACGUUACCAACAAAAGAAGCACCGGCUAACUACGUG
rnacentral:rRNA from 1 species